UUUGCUAUGGUAAAUGAUGCUGAUGGAAGUGUGCCGUUCUUUCUGCACUUUUCAGAGACUCGCCUCGGUGCUGCAAUGCAGAAAUUGCAGUUAUGCAUGGAUCUUUUACUUGCUGAGGAAGUGUGUAAAAAGACAAAGAGGAAUUUCUUUUAUGUAACAUGCAAAUUAUAGGUUCAGUUUUGUUGCACUGGCUUAAUUACUCCAAUUAUCUAGACUGAGGUGGAACCAGAUAUUAAGCAAACCCCAAUUGAAUUAUGUCUGUUGUUUUUCUUUUCACGAUGAAUUCAGUGUGGUAUUCAUGGAUCAUAUAUAUCGUCCCAAUGCAGAAGUAAAUAUUUUGUUAAAAGUA